GAUGAACGCUGGCGGCGUGCCUAAUACAUGCAAGUCGAGCGAACGGACGAGAAGCUUGCUUCUCUGAUGUUAGCGGCGGACGGGUGAGUAACACGUGGAUAACCUACCUAUAAGACUGGGAUAACUUCGGGAAACCGGAGCUAAUACCGGAUAAUAUUUUGAACCGCAUGGUUCAAAAGUGAAAGACGGUCUUGCUGUCACUUAUAGAUGGAUCCGCGCUGCAUUAGCUAGUUGGUAAGGUAACGGCUUACCAAGGCAACGAUGCAUAUCCGACCUGAGAGGGGGGUCGGCCACACUGGAACUGAGACGCGGUCCAGACUCCUACGGGAGGCACCAGUAGGGAAUGUUACGCAAUGGGCGAAAGCCUGACGGAGCAACGCCGCGUGAGUGAUGAAGGUCUUCGGAUCGUAAAACUCUGUUAUUAGGGAAAAACAUAUGUGUAAGUAACUGUACACAUCUUGACGGUACCUAAUCAGAAAGCCACGGCUAACUACGUG
rnacentral:rRNA from 1 species